GACAAAGAGGAAGAUCGAUUACUUAUAACGGUCAUAUAGAAUUUGGAACCCGAGGAUGUUUAUCCUAGUCCACCCAAUAUAACUGGUACAAAAUCUAGUGUUUACCCUUUUAUACAUUCAUCACCUACAUUACACUACACAUGAAUUUCAAGAAGAUGAGUGUUCAAGCUCACUCUCUUAGUCCCUGCACUUAUCUUCUCAACAAGUCUUCUUCCAGAGCCCUAGCUUCUUCAAGAAAGCCCUUUAAUGGUUAUGGGAGGGACUUGUGUAGGCAAAUCAAGAUUCGGACUAGUGUGUUUUCUGCUCCUGAGGGGGUGAAUGUAAGCACCCAGAAGCCCAAAAGGAAAGUCGUGGAGCACAUAACUCUGGUUAAAGCUAAUGAGGGUUUAUCUGAUGAGGAGGAGAAAGAUAUGCUGGAUUAUCUUUACACAUGCCAAUACCAAAUGGGUGGUAUCAUUUCCAUAUCAUUAGGUCGCAUUUCGAAUAAGAAUCCUGAUAAUUAUACCCAUGCCAUCUUCAUGCGCUUCCAGGAAAAGGAAAAUCUAGCAAAAUUUUACAAUAAUCCUUUCUACCUUGGAGUUAUUAAAGACCAUGUAUCACCUUACUGCCAUGAUAUGCUACAUGCAGAUUUUGAGUCUGAAGUUGAAGAUGAUAUACUUUCUAUAUUUCGAAAAGGAGAGGAAUUCAAUUAUGGUGUGGAAUUUGUGCUUCUUAUUGCACUGGAUGGCACAGCGGAAGAUGCUCUGGAGUCUCUUUCAAAGUUGACGAUGGAGUUUCCGUCAUUGAUUGUUCAAUCUACUCAAGGUUUGAAUUUCAAUGUGGGAAGUAAAGAAUUAACUCAUGUGGUAUUCAUGCGAUUUCGGUCAUCUGAGGCCUUUAAGAUAUUCAGUGAAAGUUCAGAGUAUAAGGAUAUCCAGUUGGGACCGAGGUCAUGUAACGAGGUUUUGCUAGAUUAAUGGUUUGUUUUGCCGUAUUGAGUUAAUUGGUGCAGCCUAUGAUGACAAUCUCGUUCUCCUGAUAACUUGCCUCAAGAAUAAACGGAGCGUCUCUUCGAGGUGGUCUAGAUAUAUUGGCAAUCACAGGAAAACGCGAUGGAAAUGAGGAAUGUGAUCCUGGUUUCAUAUUCGUCGUUGUUCCUUCAGUUGUACUUCUGUGGAUAUCGCGGCAGUUUGAGAGUUCGAAGAAGGAAAUCAUGAUCAUGAUGAAGAGAAAUGAGACCUGAAGAUACUGGUUCCUCAUAGCUGUUUGUUUAUAUGUUAUGAAGUAGCUGAAGAACUCAAAGUUUAGCAGAUAAAGCAACUUAGUUUAAGUU